rnacentral:rRNA from 1 species
AACGAACGCUGGCGGCAUGCCUAACACAUGCAAGUCGAACGAGAUCUUCGGGUCUAGUGGCGCACGGGUGCGUAACGCGUGGGAAUCUGCCCUUUGGUUCGGAAUAACAGUUGGAAACGACUGCUAAUACCGGAUGAUGACGAAAGUCCAAAGAUUUAUCGCCAGAGGAUGAGCCCGCGCAGGAUUAGCUAGUUGGUGUGGUAAAGGCGCACCAAGGCGACGAUCCUUAGCUGGUCUGAGAGGAUGAUCAGCCACACUGGGACUGAGACACGGCACAGACUCGUACGGGAGGCAGCAGUGGGGAAUAUUGGACAAUGGGCGAAAGCCUGAUCCAGCAAUGCCGCGUGAGUGAUGAAGGCCUUAGGGUUGUAAAGCUCUUUUACCCGGGAUGAUAAUGACAGUACCGGGAGAAUAAGCUCCGGCUAACUCCGUGCCAGCCGCCGCAGUAA